rnacentral:rRNA from 1 species
UAGUCCACACCGUAAACGAUGAAUGCUAGUUGUUGGCAGGUAUACCUGUCGGUGACGCAGCUAACGCAUUAAGCAUUCCGCCUGGGGAGUACGGCCGCAAGGUUAAAACUCAAAGAAAUUGACGGGGGCCCGCACAAGCGGUGGAGCAUGUGGUUUAAUUCGAAGCAACGCGCAGAACCUUACCUACCCUUGACAUGCCGGUCGCGAUUUCCAGAGAUGGAUUUCUUCAAUUCGGUUGGACCGUGCACAGGUGCUGCAUGGCCGUCGUCAGCUCGUGUCGUGAGAUGUUGGGUUAAGUCCCGCAACGAGUGCAACCCUCACUUUUAGUUGCCAGCAUUUAGUUGGGCACUCUAGAAGAACUGCCGGUGCUAAGCCGGAGGAAGGUGGGGAUGACGUCAGGUCCUCAUGGCCCUUACGGGUAGGGCUACACACGUGCUACAAUGGCGCUGACAGAGGGUUAAUCCCUAAAAGGCGUCUCAGUUCGGAUUGUCCUCUGCAACUCGAGGGC